CAAUAGCGUAUAUUUAAGUUGCUGCAGUUAAAAAGCUCGUAGUUGGAUUUCGGGUGGGAAUGGCCGGUCCGCCGUUUCGGUGUGCACUUGCUACGCCCACCUUGCUGCCGGGGACGUGCUCUUGAGUUCACGCUCGGGACACGGAGUCGGCGAGGUUACUUUGAGUAAAUUAGAGUGUUCAAAGCAGGCCUACGCUCUGAAUACAUUAGCAUGGAAUAACACGAUAGGACUCUGGCCUAUCUUGUUGGUCUGUAGGACCGGAGUAAUGAUUAAGAGGGACAGUCGGGGGCAUUCGUAUUUCAUUGUCAGAGGUGAAAUUCUUGGAUUUAUGAAAGACGAACUACUGCGAAAGCAUUUGCCAAGGAGGUUUUCAUUAA
rnacentral:rRNA from 1 species